GCUAUUUUACCCCUUUUCUCUUUGACUGCUGUGUCUGUGUGUGUGGAGAGAGAGGUUGGGAAAGUGGCCCUUUGAGGUGAGCUGAGGGUCCUUUUCAUGGACAUAGUUGAAAUACUUUCCAUUGUGAUCGCUUAAAAAAAAGUUGUAAGGUCAGACUGGGUUCCGACAAUGUAAAUGAAAUUCUGCUGUUCUCUUUGAUGUUUACCGCCAAGGAUUUUUAAACGCUGUGAAUACAAUAGUCCCGGAUCUCAGCCGAAGAUGUGACUGCAGCCUUGGGAGAGGGACACCAGCCUCGCAGCUCCCGACCCGAAUGUGUUCCAGCUGUUUCAGGUCAUUUCGCGCCUAAGAAACUGAAGCUACCGCUUUAAGAAGCGUUCCGCCAGGUAUGAACGCUCAGAUACAAAGACCGCACUACAAUCUACCGCCUGGCAGUCAUGCAAGCAGCAGACCUCCUCCAUACCUCAAGCUCUCUUCUCUAAGGGAAGUGCAGUAUUAUGUGACUACGCAGACGGCACUUCGCGUCCUACCGGAGCAACUUUCAAAUCGCUCCUCGGGCACAGCGAAAGCAAAUGUCAAGGCUCCUUACCCCUCUCAGCCGCUGACAUUUGAGGAUCCCGGUUGAAGUGCCCAUACUGACG